GGGUAUAUUCAGAAGCAGGAGCCACGCGAGGGGAGCAGGCAGGUCACUCCUGUCCUGCAAAAAUCUUGCUAAGGAAAAGGGCCCCAUGCUGUUAUCGCUGGUCGAGAACGGCAGCUCCGGGAAAUCCGCUUCUGGAGCUCUCAAAAUGCUAUGAGUCUUGAUAAAUUGGAGAAGAGCCCAAGAGAAAUUCAUCAUCCUGAGCUACAAAAGAAUAUGGUUAAUAGAAGAUCCUUCAGUGAUGUGUUCCCAGAGUCCCCAAAAUCAACACGGAAGCAAGAGGAAGCUCGACAAGCAGAGUUUGUUCGGCUUGGUCAGUUAGGAUCACUGUAGAAGUCAUUAGGGAGUGAAAUAUGCCAGCUGCACUCCUCUGCAUGUGUUUUACAUACAGAAGGUUCACAAGUGCUUCUAGAAUUCCAGAGAUUCAACUAAUGUAUAAACUGGGAGAGGAGGGGCAGGCUCUGGGAGCCAGCCCCUCUCUGCCAUCGUCUCCUGAAUCUGCAGCAGAGCAGUUCCAGUCCAUCCGGGCACGUGUAAUCCAGUUCCUGAUGAUCUGAACACACAGAGAAGCACUCAGCUGCUGUGGGGGGCUCAGGGAAGGCAGAGUGUGCAUUGUCAUCUUCCUGAACCUACAGACAAAUCAAAGUGAGAAGCCACAGCGUGGAAAUCAGUCGCAUAUAUGCUAAACAAAACUUGCAGAUUUAUUUAAGAAUUGUUUCUGCUUGUUCUUUGUUGUGCUUCUGUGCUUAGAAAACCUCCCUUUAAAAUCAGUUCAGUUCAUCAGUUGAACAUUUGUUUGCAGACCCUCAGUGAGCAGAAUUUGUUGCAGACUCAGUGCACGCUGUGCUGGCCUCUCGGGAGUGUGAGGAGCUCAUGUGUGCUACUUUUUGCUUUAGGACGCUCUGAGAUAUUUAUUCCUUUUGGGAUACAUGAUGAGAAUUCCCAAGAGAGGUAGUUAUAAGAAACUGCUGCCCAGCCAACUAGUAACUGAAUAUCUAUCUGUAUGGGACAUGAGGAGAGGAUUUAGAGAAAGAUGUUUGUAAAAACACGAACGAACGACGCCUCCUUCGGCCGAAUGGAACGAGCUCAGCCGAACCAAGGCGAGACCGGCCGAACCUGGCGGCCUCGAGCGAACCGAGGCCAGGCUUGCGAGGCUGCCUGAACG